rnacentral:rRNA from 1 species
UGGCCGUAGCAGUUUCGAUCCUGCACUGAGCUUGCUCUGUGGGAUCAGUGGCGAACGGGUGAGUAACACGUGAGCAACCUGCCCCUGACUCUGGGAUAAGCGCUGGAAACGGCGUCUAAUACUGGAUAUGUGACGUGACCGCAUGGUCUGCGUCUGGAAAGAAUUUCGGUUGGGGAUGGGCUCGCGGCCUAUCAGCUUGUUGGUGAGGUAAUGGCUCACCAAGGCGUCGACGGGUAGCCGGCCUGAGAGGGUGACCGGCCACACUGGGACUGAGACACGGCCCAGACUCCUACGGGAGGCAGCAGUGGGGAAUAUUGCACAAUGGGCGCAAGCCUGAUGCAGCAACGCCGCGUGAGGGACGACGGCCUUCGGGUUGUAAACCUCUUUUAGCAGGGAAGAAGCGAAAGUGACGGUACCUGCAGAAAAAGCGCCGGCUAACUACGUGCCAGCAGCCGCGGUAAUACGUAGGGCGCAAGCGUUAUCCGGAAUUAUUGGGCGUAAAGAGCUCGUAGGCGGUUUGUCGCGUCUGCUGUGAAAUCCGGAGGCUCAACCUCCGGCCUGCAGUGGGUACGGGCAGACUAGAGUGCGGUAGGGGAGAUUGGAAUUCCUGGUGUAGCGGUGGAAUGCGCAGAUAUCAGGAGGAACACCGAUGGCGAAGGCAGAUCUCUGGGCCGUAACUGACGCUGAGGAGCGAAAGGGUGGGGAGCAAACAGGCUUAGAUACCCUGGUAGUCCACCCCGUAAACGUUGGGAACUAGUUUGUGGGGUCCAUUCCACGGGAUUCCGUGACGCAGCUAACGCAUUAAGGUUCCCCGCCUGGGGAGUACGGCCGCAAGGCUAAAACUCAAGGAUUGACGGGGACCCCGCACAAGCGGCGGAGCAUGCGAUAGUCGAUGCA